rnacentral:rRNA from 1 species
GAUCCUGGCUCAGGAUGAACGCUAGCUACAGGCUUAACACAUGCAAGUCGAGGGGCAGCAUGGUCUUAGCUUUGCUAAGACCGAUGGCGACCGGCGCACGGGUGAGUAACGCGUAUCCAACCUGCCUUACACUCUUGGACAGCCUUCUGAAAGGGAGAUUAAUACAAGAUGUUAUCAUGAGUAAGCAUUUUCGCAUGNUUAAAGGUUUACCGGUGUAAGAUGGGGAUGCGUU